CCUACGGGAGGCAGCAGUGAGGAAUAUUGGACAAUGGAGGCAACUCUGAUCCAGCCAUGCCGCGUGCAGGAAGACGGCCCUAUGGGUUGUAAACUGCUUUUAUACAGGAAGAAACGUCAGUACGUGUACUGACCUGACGGUACUGUAAGAAUAAGGAUCGGCUAACUCCGUGCCAGCAGCCGCGGUAAUACGGAGGAUCCAAGCGUUAUCCGGAAUUAUUGGGUUUAAAGGGUCCGCAGGCGGUCUGAUAAGUCAGAGGUGAAAUACUAUCGCUCAACGAUAGAACUGCCUUUGGUACUGUUAGACUUGAGUUAUUGUGAAGUAGUUAGAAUGUGUAGUGUAGCGGUGAAAUGCAUAGAUAUUACACAGAAUACCGAUUGCGAAGGCAGAUUACUAACAAUACACUGACGCUCAUGGACGAAAGCGUGGGUAGCGAACAGGAUUAGAUACCCUGGUAGUCCACGCCGUAAACGAUGGUCACUAGCUGUUUGACUAACAUUGGUUAGUUGAGUGGCUAAGCGAAAGUGAUAAGUGACCCACCUGGGGAGUACGCUCGCAAGAGUGAAACUCAAAGGAAUUGACGGA
rnacentral:rRNA from 1 species